UGGGAGUCCAUAGAGAGCAGGCUCUUGACCAGGCUUCUUGAGCUCAUCCCCGCGGGGACCACGGUUCCGUCCCGCCGUCCCGAGCACCCCUUCUGGUGCCGCCUGUCCACAGCACCUUCUGAAAGCGCCGGAGCGGUCCGAGGACGUUCCAGAAACCUCGCUGACCAGUGCAGCAUUGGGGCUGGGCCAUGGCGACUACGCUGGAUCUGGUGAGCUUUCUGGUCCUCCUGAGCUCAGUGUGCUGCAGAGAACCACAGCCGGCACAAGAAAACGUAUCUCCUAUUAUAAACAUGCAGCUAGAUUCAAGGAAGAAAAUGUUAAGCUGGAAUUACAUAAGAAAUGUGAGUGAGCAAGAAUGCGUAAUAUAUACCCCGCUCGGCUCUCCCACCUCGCAACCCCC